GCAUUAGCUAGUUGGUGGGGUAAAGGCUUACCAAGGCAAUGAUGCGUAGCCGAACUGAGAGGUUGAUCGGCCACAUUGGGACUGAGACACGGCCCAAACUCCUACGGGAGGCAGCAGUAGGGAAUCUUCCACAAUGGGCGAAAGCCUGAUGGAGCAACGCCGCGUGGGUGAAGAAGGUCUUCGGAUCGUAAAACCCUGUUGUUAGAGAAGAAAGUGCGUGAGAGUAACUGUUCACGUUUCGACGGUAUCUAACCAGAAAGCCACGGCUAACUACGUGCCAGCAGCCGCGGUAAUACGUAGGUGGCAAGCGUUAUCCGGAUUUAUUGGGCGUAAAGGGAACGCAGGCGGUCUUUUAAGUCUGAUGUGAAAGCCUUCGGCUUAACCGGAGUAGUGCAUUGGAAACUGGGAGACUUGAGUGCAGAAGAGGAGAGUGGAACUCCAUGUGUAGCGGUGAAAUGCGUAGAUAUAUGGAAGAACACCAGUGGCGAAAGCGGCUCUCUGGUCUGUAACUGACGCUGAGGUUCGAAAGCGUGGGUAGCAAACAGGAUUAGAUACCCUGGUAGUCCACGCCGUAAACGAUGAAUGCUAAGUGUUGGAGGGUUUCCGCCCUUCA
rnacentral:rRNA from 1 species